UUCGCGUUUACCCAAGUCAACCUUAUGGCUUUCCAUAUAAUGACUCGUGUCUGUCAACCGCUCCAAACUCUUAAGUUCCAACAGACUUUUCAGAAACCAAAACUUUCCCCGGAGAAAAUGUCCACCAAUUCUGGACAUCAUUGAUGUAGAGGUGAUGGAGGGAGAAGGGGAGUUGUUGGAUUUGAGUCACCUCUCAGAGGCAGAGCAGACAUCCAUCUUGGAAGUGUUACAAAGGGACUCGAAUCUGCGUUGCCUUGAUGAGGGGCGUGUAAGGUCAGAGUGCUUCGGGACAGACAAAGGUCGAGUCAUGUGUCGACAUCGCCAAACCGACACUGCCAAACCGACACCGCCGAGGUGACACCGCCAAACCGACACUGCCAAGGUGACACCGACAAACCGACACCACCAAACCGACACCGCCAAGGUGACACCCCCAAACCGACACCGCCAAUCCGACACCGCCAAGGUGACACCGCCAAACCGACACCACCAAACCGACACCGCCAAUCCGACACCGCCAAGGUGACACCGCCAAACCGACACCACCAAACCGACACCGCCAAACCGACAGAACCGACAAGAAUUAAUUGUCUGUGCCUCUUGGGAAGUUUGAGGGGGAGGGAUGAGAUAGCUUUUCAGACAGAUAAGAAUGUUUUGGUUGGAUUCCAUUAGUGGAGAGAUGCUAGUGGUUGGAAUGUAGUUUUAUGGGAGGAGCAGGAAGAUAGUACCAGACCUAAUAAACAAUGGGCUCUUGUGAGAAUCGGAGAGAGGGUGGGAAACUGAUGAUGUCAUGUUCUGUUUACAACCUGUGGAAAAAUGUGUAUGUGUUAGUACUCUCUUGUAAUAAACGCUGUUACUUUUGGCUUUUAA